UUGACCUCGGAUCAGGUAGGACUACCCGCUGAACUUAAGCAUAUCAAUAAGCGGAGGAAAAGAAACCAACAGGGAUUGCCCCAGUAACGGCGAGUGAAGCGGCAACAGCUCAAAUUUGAAAUCUGGCCCUCGGGUCCGAGUUGUAAUUUGCAGAGGAUGCUCUUGGCGAGGCACCGUCCGAGUUCCCUGGAACGGGACGCCAUAGAGGGUGAGAGCCCCGUAUGGACGACUGCCGAGCCGCUGUAGAGCUCCUUCGACGAGUCGAGUAGUUUGGGAAUGCUGCUCUAAACGGGAGGUAAAUCUCUUCUAAAGCUAAAUACUGGCCACAGACCGAUAGCGCACAAGUAGAGUGAUCGAAAGAUGAAAAGCACUUUGAAAAGAGAGUUAAACAGCACGUGAAAUUGUUGAAAGGGAAGCGCUCAUGACCAGACUUGCGCCUGGCGGAUCAUCCGGCGUUCUCGCCGGUGCACUCCGCCAGGCACAGGCCAGCAUCGGUUCGCUGUUGGGGAGAAAGGCGGAGGGAAUGUGGCUCCUCGGAGUGUUAUAGCCCCCCGCGCAAUACCCUUCGGCGGACCGAGGUUCGCGCAUCUGCAAGGAUGC
rnacentral:rRNA from 1 species